rnacentral:rRNA from 1 species
CCUACGGGGGGCUGCAGUGGGGAAUAUUGCACAAUGGGCGAAAGCCUGAUGCAGCAACGCCGCGUGAGCGAUGAAGGUCUUCGGGUCGUAAAGCUCUGUCCUAAGGGAAGAAUAUUGACGGUACCUUAGGAGGAAGCCCCGGCUAACUACGUGCCAGCAGCCGCGGUAGUACGUAGGGGGCUAGCGUUAUCCGGAAUUACUGGGCGUAAAGGGUGCGUAGGCGGCCCUUCAAGUCAGAGGUGAAAGGCUACGGCUCAACCGUAGUAAGCCUUUGAAACUGAAUGGCUUGAGUGCAGGAGAGGAGAGUGGAAUUCCUAGUGUAGCGGUGAAAUGCGUAGAUAUUAGGAGGAACACCAGUGGCGAAGGCGACUCUCUGGACUGUAACUGACGCUGAGGCACGAAAGCGUGGGGAGCAAACAGGAUUAGAUACCCGAGUAGUC